UGAACGCUGGCGGCGUGCCUAAUACAUGCAAAUCGAGCGAACAGACGAGGAGCUUGCUCCUCUGCCGUUAGCGGCGGACGGGUGAGUAACACGUGGAUAACCUACCUAUAAGACUGGGAUAACUUCGGGAAACCGGAGCUAAUACCGGAUAAUAUAUUGAACCGCAUGGUUCAAUAGUGAAAGACGGUUUUGCUGUCACUUAUAGAUGGAUCCGCGCCGCAUUAGCUAGUUGGUAAGGUAACGGCUUACCAAGGCAACGAUGCGUAGCCGACCUGAGAGGGUGAUCGGCCACACUGGAACUGAGACACGGUCCAGACUCCUACGGGAGGCAGCAGUAGGGAAUCUUCCGCAAUGGGCGAAAGCUUGACGGAGCAACGCCGCGUGAGUGAUGAAGGUCUUCGGAUCGUAAAACUCUGUUAUUAGGGAAGAACAAAUGUGUAAGUAACUAUGCACGUCUUGACGGUACCUAAUCAGAAAGCCACGGCUAACUACGU
rnacentral:rRNA from 1 species